rnacentral:tRNA from 1 species
GGGUCGGUGCCCGAGUGGUUAAAGGGGGCGGGCUGUAAACCCGCUGGCGUAAGCCUACGAUGGUUCAAAUCCAUCCCGGCCCACCA